rnacentral:lncRNA from 1 species
AUGGUGAAGGUCUCGUGGCUGCAUUCCGCCACCAACACUGCACCAUGGUUGUGCCACAAUUGCGGAUUUAAGGGGUGUCCGCAACACGGCCCCGCAGCUUCUCAACGGUCUCCUUGUUGCCUUCUCCGAGUGGUGAUGGAUGUGAAGUGGGAAACGGAGCCGCGGAGGGAGCUCCUGAAGGAUUGCCUCAAGGUGGAAGCCAAGGACUCGGAGGUCGUGGAGGCGGACGCGGACGAGACGGCGGCGGUCACGGAGACGAGGCGAUGCGCGGACGAGUGGCGGCAGCCGGUCGUGGACGAGGCGAUGCGAGGCAUAGACGAGCGGCAGCCAGUCCCGGAGGCGAUGAGGCGCGGACGAGCAACAACGUCACGGAGGUGGAGGGAGCAGGCGGAGGAAGACGGAGCGGCACCGGGGGUGGGAGCAGGCGGAGGAGGGACGGGCGGGCGGCCAUGGCGGUGCCGCGGCGGAGCCAAGCGAGAGGCUGCGGGAGCUGACGACGAGCGGCGGCGGUCGGUCGCGGAGGCGGUCGCGGACGAGGCGACGGCCGGUCGUGGAGGCGGAGGUUGGACGCGGACGAGGCGGUGGCGGUCGCGG